GGCGGGUUGCCCGAGCGGCCAAUGGGAGCGGACUGUAAAUCCGUCGGCGUACGCCUUCCAAGGUUCGAAUCCUUGACCCGCCA
rnacentral:tRNA from 1 species